rnacentral:tRNA from 1 species
UCCCAGAUGGCUCAGUGGUAAAGAAUCUGCCUGACAACACAGGAGACACAGGUUCAAUCCCUGACCUGGGAA